rnacentral:lncRNA from 1 species
CAAGGAUUGAAAUGUCGAAAAAUUUCGGCGAUAUUUCGGAGAAAUAUCGCUUAUCGGUCGGCUCCGACACGAUAUUCGUCACCGAUUAUCGGUCGACGGAUAUUUCGAUAAUUUUUCAAAAAUAUCUCCGAUAUUUCGGUAUUUAUCGGUAUUCUUACCGAUUUUUCGGGAAAUUUCCCGAUAUUUCCUACCAGUCCAGUCCCCGCACAGGUUGCUAUUUGGUAAUCUGAUCAUGAUUUGCAGGCAAAGGUUG